GUGCCACGGGGCAGCCUGCAGUGCUGUGCAGAGCUGAUGCGUUUUCCUUCUCCAUGGAUGGGAGCUCAGCUGCAGAGUCUCCCUCUCCCGGGGGCAGAGUAGCUGCUGGUGGCCAGGCCUGCUGCAAGCGGGCAUAAUAUCUGCUCAUGUUUCUGACCAAGGCAGGAGAAUGGCCUGUGAGCAGCAGGAGGGGCUUGGGAGCUUUUUUUCCUCUCUCUGGAGUGUGAUUCUUGUGAAUUGAAAGGACAAGGCCUCUUCUUGGCCUAGCAUGCAAUCCAAGCAUCAUUCUGGUACUCUUCCUCUGCCUCUCCUCUUCUUCAAAGGAGAAAGCUCUCUAAGAAGUUAUAGUCUGUCAGUCUGCCUCGAAUCACUAGCCUGACUCCUCUCGUUGUGCCAAGUUGGGGAACAGAAGGCAGCCCUCCCUCAUUGUGGGUUCAGAGGAAGCAUGUCAGCAUCUUCUAAUGACGGUGUCUGCUGCAAGUCCUUUGUAGAAAUCUUAUUUCUGUCCCCUCAGAGUUCCAUCCCAGGACAUUCACCCGCACUGUCAAGGCAUCUCCCCGACGAUGCCAGUCUGUGUGAUGGGGCCGGGUGCAGGGCUGAAGAUUUCAGGCCCUCCCUGCUUGAAGAGCCCAGAGUGAGAACUGCAGUUGGACCCGGAGCACCUGAAGGCGGGCCACAUCACUGUGCCGGGAAACGUGAAUCGCACCCACCGAUUCGGUAAUGUUCCUGCGCCACCACGGAGCCAGCCUCUGCUGAAGGUCUGGCUGUGUGACUGAGCACGUGUCCUCUCCCUCUCUUCCCACCUCCCUGCUGGAUGUAACUUGGCCCAGAGGGAAGGACCUGGACCCGCCACAAGGGGGAGCCGCGGCGGAGCCUGAGAGGAGGACUCACGCUUUUCAAUGGAGCCGCAUACCCUUGGUAUGGCUGUGGUGAACGCGGGGACAGAAACAAUCUGCCACGCUGAGGUCACUGCCUCUGGCAUUUAUGAAGGUAGCAGAAGGCAGCAACCCAAACAACGGCUUAAGAACGCUCUACUUGUAAAAAUAAUAAGUUAAUUAAAAGAUAAAUGUAA